AUCAUAUUUUUCCCAGCAAAGGACUCCAGGUAGCGAUGACUUGCCUGUAACAGCCCUAGACCAGAAUGAAACUGGCAGUCUUAGGACCCAGAAGAGCACUGGAAGGAUGAGCGUAACACCAGGAGCAGCGGUAGAAAUUAGGAAAUAGUUGUAUGACCAUUUGAACCACCUUAUUAUUGAAAGUUUCACAUAUAGGCUCAUAUUUACAAGAGGGGGAGAUUAAAGUGUCAGCAGGAAAAGCUGAAGGGAGGAGUGUGAAAAUUUUCUUUGAAAUACACAAAGAACAAACCACCUCAGACUGAAAAAACUUGGAAGAGCCUUUUAUGAGGAAUAUUCAUUACCUUCUGCAUAAAUGUAAAAAGUU